rnacentral:lncRNA from 1 species
AGCAAAAUUAAAAAAUACAAAUGCUGUCUUUUUAGAAUGGUGACUUCUACUUACUUUGUAGGACCAUAAAUAAGGCAAAAAAAAGUAGAUUAAAAAAAUAAAAGAUAUAAGCAUCUUUAGAAAGAAGUUAAGAGUAAAUUCUAAUAAAAUUUACUUAGAAAAAUUAGAUAUUGAUAUCCAAAGAGGGCCAGUUAUGAACCAGGGUCGAAAUCAGAUCCUAAGGCACAAAACCGAGUCUCGACGAUGACUCCAGGGUUCUUUUGCAAAUCAGAGAGUAGAAUUUGAUAGCAGAUUGGAUAAGGUUUUUAUAAGCAUUGGAUUUCGGCAAUUUGGAGUUUUUAUGACUAUGUAAGAGCUUUACAAAGUCAAGAUUGUUUUUGGAUGACUUGGGGGUUUGUGAAAUAAAAUAGGGUUGAUGUUUCUAGUGAUUUUAAGAGUUUUGUAAUAAAUCUAUGAGUGAAAUUUUGUAAGUUAAUGGUCAUAGUUGUGCUUAAUAUGUAUUGUGAAUCUUAGCUCAAUCUAAUUGUUGAAUUGAGGGUUAUUGAGGUUUAAGUGAG